GGAUGUUUCCAUAACCGGCACUUGGCGAAAUUGCGGAUUUGUUUACAUCGGAAGUGAGCGUACGUGCGCCAGAAUAUGGUAACCCUGAUAAUUGUUGCAACCCACACAGGGAAUUUUCCUGAAGGAGGAAAAGGGAAAUUUUCUGUUUACUUUUCGAACAUUACGGUUGAACUGCCCUUCAAUGAAAGCUUUUGCUCGAUGUGUGGCCUGUAAUAGCAAUAAAUGGGACUUUUGUGAACUGAAAUCUGUUAGGCUUUCCAAAAUCCAGAAAGCUGAUUAGGUGUGCAGAAGCAGCAGACUUGUAAAUGUGAAGGAGCUAUUUGCUUAGUUAUGCAGUAGAAUUCACCACCCUGCGGCAAGCUUCAUUAAAGCUGUGAACAGCCAAGCUAACCAUCUUCAGGGCAAGUGGCUGCAUCAAGCAAACCCAGUGACAUUCCAAAGAGGAAUGUCAGUCAAAAUAAAAACUUAAUACCUAAAUCUCGGAAAAUCAGACAAUUAAGCCACAAAUCUUGUGACCAAUUUUUCAGUUGCUGUGCUUAGUGCGAUAAAGUUAUAUGGCAAUAAACUGAAAAGCUAUGGCAGGUAUUCUAUUGUACCCUUUAAUGAAAUCAAUUUAAAGCAAGCUUAUCAUAUGAUAAGCAAAAUGAUUGUAUCAUUGGAUAUGAAGACUAUGGUAAUGAUUGCAUUGCUGGGUAUGCAGGCUAUGGUUCUACAAUGAGCCAAAUGUAAUAUCUCAGUAUGCUGUGACUAUUAAAAUUAUAAAUUAUGUAUUAUUACUUC